rnacentral:rRNA from 1 species
UACGGAGGGGACUAGCGUUGUUCGGAAUUACUGGGCGUAAAGCGCACGUAGGCGGAUUUGUUAGUCAGGGGUGAAAUCCCGAGGCUCAACCUCGGAACUGCCUUUGAUACUGCAAAUCUCGAGUCCGGAAGAGGUGAGUGGAAUUCCUAGUGUAGAGGUGAAAUUCGUAGAUAUUAGGAGGAACACCGAUGGCGAAGGCAGGUCUCUGGGCAGUAACUGACGCUGAGGAGCGAAAGCAUGGGGAGCGAACAGG